UGGGGAAUUUUGGACAAUGGGCGAAAGCCUGAUCCAGCAAUGCCGCGUGCAGGAUGAAGGCCCUCGGGUUGUAAACUGCUUUUGUACGGAACGAAAAGCCUGGGGCUAAUAUCCCCGGGUCAUGACGGUACCGUAAGAAUAAGCACCGGCUAACUACGUGCCAGCAGCCGCGGUAAUACGUAGGGUGCAAGCGUUAAUCGGAAUUACUGGGCGUAAAGCGUGCGCAGGCGGUUUUGUAAGACAGUGGUGAAAUCCCCGGGCUCAACCUGGGAACUGCCAUUGUGACUGCAAGGCUAGAGUGCGGCAGAGGGGGAUGGAAUUCCGCGUGUAGCAGUGAAAUGCGUAGAUAUGCGGAGGAACACCGAUGGCGAAGGCAAUCCCCUGGGCCUGCACUGACGCUCAUGCACGAAAGCGUGGGGAGCAAACAGG
rnacentral:rRNA from 6 species